CUCUCGCACCGCGCCGCCGGCACUUCUACCGAAAGAGAUGGCUAGAAAAGUACGCGUGCGCCGGAGCCUCCGCCGGCGCCGGCGCGGCCUGCCCUCUUCAGUCUCCCCGCGACAGGGAAACAGUUCGCGCGUGUUAUUUUGUGGCUCGCUCCGAGACUUCCGACCGCUCGUCGCACACGAAUAUUUUUAGAUAAUACUAAGUGUGAACAAUUUAUUCGCAAGGUAAUCAGUGAUCGCGCGCACUUUUGUGGAUAUCGGUGUAUGCGGGCGCGUCUAUGGCAACUCGAUGUGGCGAAGACGGCGAGCCCGUCGGCGGUAGCGCUCGGGCGAGAGCUGCCGGCGGCGGAGACGUCCCGAUAGACAUAACUUCGGCGACAUGACUGGUGCACAUUUCAAAUUUCGAACACUGGGCUUCGCAUGGCGGCAAUUUUAAAUCUGUGGUGUUGGAAAAAUAUAUCGAGGAUCUAGGAUGCUGUGCGAAUUGCGCCUGAGUCAGCAUGAUGUCAUUGCUACAUAAUGGGAGCGUCCCGGCUCGUCAUACCCCAAUCCUGCAUACCAGCGAAUCGAGCGAUGACAAAUCCAUUCAUAUUUCUCUAUUGUGCGUUGCGGUAGUGUUUGACAAUUGACUUAUUAGUCUUAGUUAAACGUAAGACUUCUACGGGAAUUUUAAGAAUUUACUUCCUGUAUACAUGAUAGUUUUAUUAAUUAAGUCGUAAUUAAUUUAAGCAGUUCGAAGAUUUUCAAUUUUGGAACACUGAAGUGAGAAGAAAGAAGAAAAGGAAUAACGAAA